GUCCCUUUGGGGAAAUUCGAUAAAAUUGGAAUGAUACAGAGAAGAUAGCAUGACCUCCGCGCAUGGAUGACACACAUAAAUCACUUUUUCAUAAGUAUAUUAUUUUU